GACCAGUUAGCUCAAUCAGUAGAGCAUAGCGCUAACAACGCCAAGGUCGCGGGUUCGAUUCCUGUUCGGUCC
rnacentral:tRNA from 1 species